GCAAGUCGAACGAACAAACUGGAGCUUGCUUUAGCUUUGUUAGUGGCAAACGGGUGAGUAACACGUGGGAAUCUACCCAUCAGUACGGAAUAACAUUUGGAAACAGAUCCUAAUACCGUAUAUUCUCCAAGGAGGAAAGAUUUAUCGCUGAUGGAUGAGCCCGCGCAAGAUUAGGUAGUUGGUAGGGUAAUGGCCUACCAAGCCGACGAUCUGUAGCUGGUCUGAGAGGACGAAC
rnacentral:rRNA from 1 species